rnacentral:rRNA from 1 species
GGUUUGAUCAUGGCUCAGAUUGAACGGCGGGAUGCUUUACACAUGCAAGUCGAACGGCAGCACGGACUUCGGUCUGGUGGCGAGUGGCGAACGGGUGAGUAAUGUAUCGGAACGUGCCUAGUAGCGGGAUAACUAUUGGGCGAAAGCAGCUAAUACCGCAUACGCCCUUCGGAGGAAAGCGGGGGACCUUCGGGCCUCGCACUAUUAGAGCGGCCGAUAUCGGAUUAGCUAGUUGGUGGGGUAACGGCUCACCAUGACGAUCCGUAGCUGGUUUGAGAGGACGACCAGCCACACUGGGACUGAGACACGGCCCCAGAUCCAGUACGGGAGGCAGCAGUGGGGAAUUUUGACAAUGGGGAAACCCUGAUCCAGCCAUCCCGCGUGUGCGAUGAAGGUUUCGGGUUGUAAAGCAAUUUCGGCAGGAAAGAAACGGCACGGGAUAAUACCCUGCAAAACUAUUUUCUGUACUCUGCAGAAUAAGCACCGGCUAACUACGUGCCAGCAGCCGCGGUAAUACGUAGUGCCGUUAUCUGAAUUACUGGGCGUAAAGCGUGCGCAGGCGGUUCGGAAAGAAAGAUGUGAAAUCCCAGAGCUUAACUCUUGAACUACAUUUUUAACUACCGAGCUAGAGUGUCAGAGGGAGGUGAAUUCCGCGUGUAGCAGUGAAAUUGCGAUGGUGCGGAGGAACACCGAUGGCGAAGGGCAGCCUUGGGAUAACACUGACGCUCGCUAUGCACAGCGUAUAAACAGAUUAGAUACCGGUAGUCCACGCCCUAAACGAUGUCAACUAGCUGUUGGGGCCUUCGCCUUGGUAGCGCAGCUAACGCGUGAAGUUGACCGCCUGGGGAGUACGGUCGCAAGAUUAAAACUCAAAGGAAUUGACGGGGACCGCACAAGCGGUGAUGAUGUGGAUUAAUUCGAUGCAACGCGAAAACCUUACUCACCCUUGACAUGUCCGGAAUCCCGAAGAGAUUUGGGAGUGCUCGCAAGAACUGGAACACAGGUGCUGCAUGGCUGUCGUCAGCUCGUGUCGUGAGAUGUUGGGUUAAGUCCCGCAACGAGCGCAACCCUUGUCAUUAGUUGCUACGAAAGGGCACUCCACGAGACUGCCGGUGACAACCGGAGAGCGGUGGGAUGCCAUCAGUCAAGUCCUCAUGGCCCUUAGCGGUAGGGCUUCUACAACGUCAUACAAUUGUCGGGACAGAGGGUGGUCGCCAACCUGCGAGGGAGCCAAUCCCAGAACCCGAUCGUAGUCCGGAUCGCAGUCUGCAACUCGACUGCGUGAAGUCGGAACCGCUAGUAAUCGCGGAUCAGCAUGUCGGUGAAUACGUUCCGGGUCUUGUACACACUGCCCGUCACACCAUGGGAGUGGGUUUUACCGUAGUUUUGAAGUUAGCCUAACCGGCAAGGAGCGCUACUACUACUGGUAGAUCUAUGACUGGGGCAGCGCCGUACAAGGGGUAG